GAACGCACAUUGCGCCCUUUGGUAUUCCUUAGGGCAUGCCUGUUCGAGCGUCAUUUAACCCCUCAAGCUCAGCUUGGUGUUGGGCGUCUGUCCUUCGCCGUCACGGCGGGACUCGCCUCAAAGACAUUGGCGGCCGGUACCUUGGCUUCGAGCGCAGCAGAAACGCGGUCUCGGGGUCCGGGGGAUCGAGCUCCCAGAAGCCACUCUUUUAUUUUUUGACCUCGGAUCAGGUAGGAAUACCCGCUGAACUUAAG
rnacentral:misc_RNA from 1 species